rnacentral:rRNA from 1 species
AGAGUUUGAUCAUGGCUCAGAAUCAACGCUGGCGGCGUGCCUAACACAUGCAAGUCGCACGAGAAAGGGUAGCAAUACCUGAGUAAAGUGGCGCACGGGUGAGUAACACGUGAAUGAUCUACCUCCGAGUGGGGAAUAACUGAGAGAAAUCUCAGCUAAUACCGCAUAACACUUACGAGUCAAAGCAGCAAUGCGCUUGGAGAGGAGUUCGCGGCCGAUUAGUUAGUUGGCGGGGUAAUGGCCCACCAAGACGAUGAUCGGUAUCCGGCCUGAGAGGGCGCACGGACACACUGGAACUGAAACACGGUCCAGACUCCUACGGGAGGCAGCAGUGGGGAAUUUUGCGCAAUGGGGGAAACCCUGACGCAGCAACGCCGCGUGGAGGAUGAAAUAUCUUGGUAUGUAAACUCCUUUCGAUGGGGAAGAUUAUGACGGUACCCAUAGAAGAAGCCCCGGCUAACUUCGUGCCAGCAGCCGCGGUAAUACGAGGGGGGCAAGCGUUGUUCGGAUUUAUUGGGCGUAAAGGGUGCGUAGGCGGUUUGAUAAGUCUGAUGUGAAAUCUAUGGGCUCAACCCAUAGUCUGCAUUAGAAACUGUCGGGCUUGAGUAUGGGAGAGGUGAGUGGAAUUUCCGGUGUAGCGGUGAAAUGCGUAGAUAUCGGAAGGAACACCUGUGGCGAAAGCGGCUCACUGGACCAUAACUGACGCUGAUGCACGAAAGCUAGGGGAGCAAACAGGAUUAGAUACCCUCGUAGUCC